CCUACGGGACGCAGCAGUGAGGAAUAUUGGUCAAUGGACGCAAGUCUGAACCAGCCAUGCCGCGUGCAGGAAGACGGCUCUAUGAGUUGUAAACUGCUUUUGUACGAGGGUAAACGCAGAUACGUGUAUCUGUCUGAAAGUAUCGUACGAAUAAGGAUCGGCUAACUCCGUGCCAGCAGCCGCGGUAAUACGGAGGAUUCAAGCGUUAUCCGGAUUUAUUGGGUUUAAAGGGUGCGUAGGCGGUCGGAUAAGUUAGAGGUGAAAUCCCGAGGCUCAACUUCGGAAUUGCCUCUGAUACUGUUCGGCUAGAGAGUAGUUGCGGUAGGCGGAAUGUAUGGUGUAGCUGUGAAAUGCUUAGAGAUCAUACAGAACACCGAUUGCGAAGGCAGCUUACCAAGCUACUUCUGACGUUGAGGCACGAAAGCGUGGGGAGCAAACAGGAUUAGAUACCCUUGUAGUC
rnacentral:rRNA from 1 species